rnacentral:rRNA from 1 species
UACGUAGGGGGCUAGCGUUGUCCGGAAUCAUUGGGCGUAAAGCGCGUGUAGGCGGCUCGGUAAGUCCGCUGUGAAAGUCGGGGGGCUCAACCCUCGAAUGCCGGUGGAUACUGUCGGGCUAGAGUGCGGAAGAGGCGAGUGGAAUUCCUGGUGUAGCGGUGAAAUGCGCAGAUAUCAGGAGGAACACCAAUUGCGAAGGCAGCUCGCUGGGACGUAACUGACGCUGAGACGCGAAAGCGUGGGGAGCAAACAGG